AACGAACGCUGGCGGCAUGCCUAACACAUGCAAGUCGAACGAGACCUUCGGGUCUAGUGGCGCACGGGUGCGUAACGCGUGGGAACCUGCCCUUAGGUUCGGAAUAACUCUCCGAAAGGGGUGCUUAUACCGGAUAAUGUCUUCGGACCAAAGAUUUAUCGCCUUUGGAUGGGCCCGCGUUGGAUUAGCUAGUUGGUAGGGUAAUAGCCUACCAAGGCGACGAUCCAUAGCUUGUUUGAGAGGAUGAUCAGCCACACUGGGACUGAGACACGGCCCAGACUCCUACGGGAGGCAGCAGUGGGGAAUAUUGGACAAUGGGCGGAAGCCUGAUCCAGCAAGGCCGCGUGAGUGAUGAAGGCCGUAGGGUUGUAAAGCUCUUUUACCCGGGAUGAUAAUGACAGUACCGGGAGAAUAAGCUCCGGCUAACUCCGUG
rnacentral:rRNA from 1 species